CCCAUUGUUACACACACCGCUCGCACGCCACCCCUAUAGAAAAGAUCAUUGGCGAAAACGUCGACGCCAUGGAGAGCUCGCUCGGUGCUUCCGAUAUGACACCACGUGAACUUUUUCCGCUCAGUCCAUUAACGUCCUCUGCCAGUUGCUUCACUGAUUCACUCAGAAAAGCAAGACGUUAACAAGCUCGCCUCAGCGCACCCUCAGGCACUCACUGUUCGGGGACCAUAGACGGUGUGUCCGUCUCCUGGAAUCACUUCCCGUGGGAAACUGAGCUCUCUACGAGCGUGGAAGUGCUCCGGCGAAACAGAGCGCGCGGAAGGCGACAGCCCCGGCGCGCACGCAUCAUUAGGCCUAACAGACGAAAAUGGCGGCGCCAGUAAGGCGCUAACUCGACGCCUCUCCCUUUCCCACCCGCAUUGGCGACAGCACCCACGUCUUCACCUCACGGCGACGGCGAUUUGGCGAGGUGAAACAGACUCGACGCUGCGGGUUCCGGUACUUCGGCUUCGUUGAGGACGAAUGGCGGCCUGGUGCAAAGCGCGGCGGAAGAUCACAGCUGGGAAGCGGCCGUGCUUCUGUAUAGUGCCCCCGACACUUCUCCCUUGGCAGACCGGACACGCACCCCUGUUUGCGACGACCGGGGUCAGCGAUUGUGUUUCAGACGCACGGGGCCGGCCUCUUUCCCGGCAAAAGAACCGCGCCGAAGCGGAGGAAAGGGACAAAAUGGCUGCGCUCGUCAAAAAAUUGUUUCCACGGAAGAAACAAUUUAGCCUUAAUCGUCCGUCGAGAACGAAUGCCUCCAGCAGUGCGAUGCAUAGGCCAUGCGGCAUGUGCAACUGGGUGUGUGACCAAUCCUCCAGAAUGGGUGUUUGUGCAACUGCGGCACAGGAGGGUUCAACCACGAUACAUA